rnacentral:rRNA from 1 species
AGAGUUUGAUCCUGGCUCAGAACGAACGUUGGCGGCGCGCUUAACACAUGUAAGUCGUGUGAGUGGUUGUUUUGGUGGUUUAUUAGAGUGGUGAAUGGGUGAGUAAUACGUGAGUUACCUAUCUCGGUGUUCGGGAUAGUUUUUUGAAAGAAGUGUUAGUACCGGAUACGCCUCGAUUGAUAAAUAUUGUUUGAGGGAAAGGGUGUUUUUGUAUAUGUAUUUGCAUUGAGAGGGGCUCGCGGCCCAUUAGGUAGUUGGUGAGGUAAUGGCUCACCAAGUUAUUGAUGGGUAGCUGGUCUGAGAGGAUGAUCAGCUACAUUGGCACUGAGACACGGGCUAGAUUCCUAUGGGAGGUAGUAGUGGGGAAUUUUGUGUAGUGGGCGAAAGCCUGAUGCAGCGACGCCGCGUGAGUGAAGAAGGCCUUCGGGUCGUAAAGCUCUGUUGAGGGGGAAGAAUCGCGCGUGGUCUAAUAGGCCAUGCGUUUGAUGGUACCCCUCGAGGAAGCACCGGCUAACUCCGUGCCAGUAGUUGUGGUAGUAUGGAGGGUGCAAACGUUGUUCGGAAUCACUGGGCGUAAAGGGCACGUAGGCGGCUAUGUAAGUCAGGUGUGAAGUUCCUCGGUUUAGUUGAGGAACUGUGUUUGAAAUUACUUGGCUUGAGUCCGGUAGAGGGAAGCGGAGUUCCUGGUGUAGAGGUGAGGUUUGUAGAUAUUAGGAGGAGUACCCGAGGUGAAGGUGGCUUCCUGGGCCGGUAUUGACGUUGAUGUGCGAAAGCGUGGGGAGUAGACAGGAUUAGAUGUUUUGGUAGUUUGUGUUGUAGACGAUGUUCACUAGGUGUCGCGGGUAUUUAGUCCUUGCGGUGCCGGAGCUAAUGCGAUAAGUGAACCGCCUGGGGAUUACGGCCGCAGGGUUAGAGUUUAAAGGAAUUGACGGGGGCCCGCACAAGCGGUGGAGUAUGUGGUUUAGUUUGAAGCAGUGUGUAGAACUUUACCUGGGUUUGACAUCCCUGGAACACCCUGGAAAUAGGGUGGUGCCUCUUUGAGGAGCCAGGAGAUAGGUGUUGCAUGGCUGUCGUCAGCUCGUGUUGUGAGAUGUCGGGUUGAGUUUUGUAACGAGCGUAACCCCUGUCCCUAGUUGUCAGCAUUAGGUUGGGGAUUUUAGGGAGACUGCCCCGGUGAAUGGGGAGGAAGGUGGGGACGACGUUAAGUCCUCAUGGUUUUUAUGCCCAGGGUUACACACGUACUACAAUGGGCGGUAUAGAGGGUUGUGAAUUUGUGAGGGGGAGUUAGUUUUAGAGAGCCGUCCUCAGUUCGGAUAGGAGUCUGCAACUCGACUCCUUGAAGUCGGAAUUGCUAGUAAUCGCGGAUUAGUAUGCCGCGGUGAAUAUGUUUUUGGGUUUUGUAUAUAUUGCCCGUCAUAUUAUGGGAGUUGUCUGGACCAGAAGUCGCCGGCCUAAUUUGUUUGUGGGAUGGAAGUGUUGAAGGUUUGGGUGGCGACUGGGGUGAAGUUGAAAUAGGG